AUUGAACGCUGGCGGCAGGCCUAACACAUGCAAGUCGAGCGCGCGGCGCACGGGUGAGUAUUGUCUGGGAAACUGUUCGCUGGAGGGGGAUAACUACUGGAAACGGUAUCUCUUACCGCACACCAUCAGAUGUGCCCCGAUGGGAUUAGCUAGUAGGUGGGGUAACGGCUCACCUAGGCGACGAUCCCUAGCUGGUCUGAGAGGAUGACCAGCCACACUGGAACUGAGACACGGUCCAGACUCCUACGGGAGGCAGCAGUGGGGAAUAUUGCACAAUGGGCGCAAGCCUGAUGCAGCCAUGCCGCGUGUGUGAAGAAGGCCUUCGGGUUGUAAAGCACUUUCAGCGGGGAGGCGUUACCCGCAGAAGAAGCACCGGCUAACUCCGUGCCAGCAGCCGCGGUAAUAC
rnacentral:rRNA from 1 species